AGUGAGAAAGAGACCUGGAACGCUCGUUCAUGACGUUGAUAUCCAAAAGGAUUUGGAGUUAGGGGCGGAAAUUGCCGAGUAUCUUAAUAACCCAAGGCUCUAAUUACCCCUAGUAACUAGGCAACAGCCCUCUAAUGGUUUCUAGGGUAACCUGGGAUUGGCUGGGAGCGGAACAAAAGGCUGAAUAAUUAAAAACCAUUCCAAAAUGAAAAGGUGCUGGCAGACAUAGAGCUAGCUCAGACCCUGCAGACAGACAAGGUGAAGAAGGAGGAGGAAAAUGAACAAGAAGUUCCCCACCGUUUGGAUGUUGAUUAUGGGCUCCUCAAGUGUGAUCUGAGUCUCCUGGAUACCAAGUCUGAAGAAUACAUGGUGAAACAUAUAGAAUUUGGGGGUGCAGCAUGACUUCAGCCAAUAAGUAAACAUGUCUGUGUAACUGAACUGUAAUUUGCCACAAACCUAUGUGGAUACUGGCCCCUCUACUGUGCACUGAAAAUCUUGAACGUUUGGUCCGUUAACCGAGAAACAGAGGUUCGCGUGGAUGCUGCACUCUGUAACCUGUGCAUUACAUUUCCAAUAAAUUACACACUGCAUUUCUGCAUCACAUUGCCAGUAUCCACACACAAACUGCACUUCUGUUUUCUGUGAAUCAUGUUUCACAUAUUUACAAAUUGCAUUUUUGUAACCUGUUUAUAACAUGGCCAGUAUACACACACUGCAUUUCUGCUACCUGAGAAUCAUGUUUCCCAUAUAUGCACACUGCAUUUCUGUAACCUGUGCAUCACAUUUCCCAUAAAUACACACUGUAUGUCUGUAACCUGUGCAUCGCAUUUCCCAUACAUACACACUGCAUUUCUGUAACCUGUACAUACAUACACACUACAUUACUGCAACCUGUGCAUUGCAUUUCCCAUAAAUACACACUGCAUUUCUGCAACCUGUACAUCACGUUUCUCAUACAUACACACUGCAUUUCUGCAACCUGUACAUCACGUUUCUCAUACAUACACACUGCAUUUCUGCAACCUGUACAUCAUGUUUCUCAUACAUACACACUGCAUUUCUGCAACCUGUACAUCACGUUUCUCAUACAUACACACUGCAUUUCUGCAACCUGUACAUCAUGUUUAUGUUUCUCAUACAUACACACUGCAUUUCUGCAACCUGUACAUCAUGUUUAUGUUUCUCAUACAUACACACUGCAUUUCUGCAACCUGUACAUCAUGUUUCUCAUACAUACACACUGCAUUUCUGCAACCUGUACAUCACGUUUCUCAUACAUACACACUGCAUUUCUGCAACCUGUACAUCAUGUUUAUGUUUCUCAUACAUACACACUGCAUUUCUGCAACCUGUACAUCAUGUUUCUCAUACAUACACACUGCAUUUCUGCAACCUGUACAUCAUGUUUCUCAUACAUACACACUGCAUUUCUGCAACCUGUACAUCACGUUUCUCAUACAUACACACUGCAUUUCUGCAACCUGUACAUCAUGUUUAUGUUUCUCAUACAUACACACUGCAUUUCUGCAACCUGUACAUCAUGUUUCUCAUACAUACACACUGCAUUUCUGUAACCUGUGCAUCACAUUUCCCAUACAUACACACUGCAUUUCUGCAGCCUGUAGUAGAUACAGCUACAGUAUCAAGCAACUUGACAGGUCCCUGCCCCCUGACAGAUCGGACCGCCCCUAAUGGGCGGAGCUAAGUUUGAUCUGGUCUUUCUGACCUGAUAUAGCCAUGCCCACGCAGCUGCCAUUUUGUGUAAUACCCAUAAACCCUAGCUAGCCAGCAGCAAAGCAUUUCCCGCCCACUGCGCAGCCACCAUUUUGUGAAAUUAAGCCGCCAUUUUGUGUAAUACCCAUAAACCCUAGCUAGCCAGCGGCAAAGCAUUCCCCGCCCACUGUGCAGCUGCCAUUUUGUGUAAUGCCCAUAAACCCUAGCUAUCUUCUACUGUGAGCGCCACCAGGUGGUUAUGUUUGAUAUUACAAGAGCUAUAUGUGGUCACUGAGUAACUGCGAGGGCCAUGAUGCGGUUAUUGCUAUAACUACCGAUGAAUACAGAAAAAAACCCAAAAAAAACCAGAUAACUACUUAAAUGUUUGUUCUUUUUAAAUUAACACAUUCCAAUGUGAAAAUAACUACGAGAAAACAAGACAUUUGGACUGCUCUGCAACUGUGAAACUGAAAAAAAAAACAACAAGGACUGUUUUUAUUCCUCCAAAACUAUUGACUGCUUUGGCAAUUACUUGUGAACCUUUUUGAAAUGCACAGUUCAUUAUGUAACAGGGUUGUCAGGCAAUCGCGGACUACUUCUGAUCUAAAGGGGGAAUGAGCUUUCAGGUUCAUUAUGCAUUUAAUCUAAAUGCUUGAUAAGUAACUGACACAUUUUAAAACACUGCCUUUCACAUUGUGAAAUGGCGUCAUUAUCGAAAAACAUUAAAGAUGUGUUAAAGAAA